rnacentral:miRNA from 1 species
AUCAUCUGAAGAAUGUUGUUAAACUGCAGAUUCUGAUUCUGUGGGUCGGGGUGGGGCCUGAGAUUCUGCAUUUCUAACAAACUCCCAGGUGAUGCCAGU